GACGAACGCUGGCGGCGUGCUUAACACAUGCAAGUCGAGCGGUAAGGCUCUUUCGGGGGUACACGAGCGGCGAACGGGUGAGUAACACGUGGGCGACCUGCCCUCAGCUCUGGGAUAAGCCUGGGAAACUGGGUCUAAUACCGGAUAUGACCACAUGUCGCAUGGUGUGCGGUGGAAAGUUUUUCGGCUGGGGAUGGGCCCGCGGCCUAUCAGCUUGUUGGUGGGGUGAUGGCCUACCAAGGCGA
rnacentral:rRNA from 1 species